rnacentral:rRNA from 1 species
GUUGUCCAGAAAAUGAAUAUUAGUUCAGCUUUAAAAAAUACCAAAAAUAUGAACAAAUUAUAAUGUAUUUUUAAAAGUUAGUCUAAAAAGGUACAGCCUUUUAGAAAUGGAUACAACCUUAACUAGAGAGUAAACCCUAACAUCAAACCAUAGUGGGCCUAAAAGCAGCCACCAAUUAAGAAAGCGUUAAAGCUCAACAAUAAAAUAAUACUAAUUCCAAUAAUAAACAGUCAACUCCUAGUCUAAUACUGGACUAAUCUAUUAAAAAUAGAAGCAAUAAUGUUAACAUGAGUAACAAGAAAUAACUUCUCCCCGCAUAAGUUUAAGUCAGUAUCUGAUAAUAUUCUGACUAUUAACAGCAAAAUAAGAAUAACCUAACUAUAAAUAACUUAUUAAUUAUACUGUUAAUCCGACACAGGAAUGCACUUAGGGAAAGAUUAAAAGAAGUAAAAGGAACUCGGCAAACACUAAACCCCGCCUGUUUACCAAAAACAUCACCUCCAGCAUAACUAGUAUUGGAGGCACUGCCUGCCCAGUGACGACCGUUAAACGGCCGCGGUAUCCUG